CUGACUCACCGCGUGAGCCUGGACGAGUCACUUCCCUUUCUCACCCUCAGCUCCGCCAGCCUUACCAGGGCUAGAAGGAACGCGACGUCCUCGGUACGUGGGAUGAUUAUAGAACCCGUCGUCCAGCUGGCGCUUUUGAGAGCAAGAGGGGGUGUUAACAGUUAUGCUGAGACAGGCUUACUAAGAGGGGUGGUCCCCGGAAGGUUCUAGAAUCUCAUGUGAAAAUGAAGAUAGGAGCAGGCUUUCCUUAGCUUACCACCUCCCAGCUCAUGGGGGUAGAAUGGCUGCUUGCUGCAGCCUAUGCUAUUAGCUUUGCUCUAGAGAAGGGCCGAGAAACUCUGUCUUUCAUACAUUUCUAAGCAUGUGCAAAAAUAAUCAGAUACAACCCUGUAACACUCAUGAGGGGGGUAGGGUCUGAAGAAUGAGGGGUGACACUGGGCAAAGCCAUCAUGGUGACAACGAAGGCUCUUAUCUGCUCCUUGGAGGUCCCAGCCUCACGAGUUAGGCCAGGCCCUGCCCCUCUGGCAUUUAAACUACCCUGAUAUCAAGCACUUGCCUAUUUGGGGUAUCGUAAAUAACACGUGGCCAUGUCGAUUAAGCUGGGCUUGGAGGAAGGGCUAACAGAACUCCAGAACGGCCCCGAGGAUAGCCCCUACUAUAUUCUGAGAAUUCAGUUGGCAGGAGCAUACCCAUGCAAGAUCUGCAUCUGGGCCGUGGCAGUCACACCGAGCUCCUUCUCCUGGGAGGGGGCAUCCGCGCAAGAGGAGAGAACCAGCAUGCAGUGUACAGCAUGAUGGGGAAUCAGCAGAAACAGAACUACCCAGGCUUGGCUCGGGAAUCGGAUACGCCAGGCAGGAAUUCGCCCUUGGGAAGCUGUUGCUUAACCCUCUGGUUCCUCGGGCUCCCUGCCUCCUUGACAGAGGCCAAGGCAAACAAGGAUUCCGGGUGAGACCAGACCGACCAGCCAAUGCCAGCUCACUUGGGGUUAGACCGGGGCUGGGAGGGGCCCAGGCAACCCUGCAGGAUGCCGGGUGCUGGGUAGGGCCCCAGGGGGAGGCAGGUUUCUGCAGCUCCCUUUUCCCAGUGGAAAAGCUCAGGAUUCCCAAAGGCUGUUGGUCGAGAGUCUCAAAUUGUCUUCAGACUGGGUCUAAUCGAGCUAGAACCACUUGGGAGCCAGGAUGUAGCUGGAUCCAGUGACAGGCGUCGCUGAGAAGUGAAGAGAGGUCCGGCGACAACUGGGAUCUCCAGUUGACCCAGUCUCAAGGGGCGGUGAGACUAGGUACCUGAUCCUUCUAGUCCAUUGAUUUGCUGUUACUCAGCUCCAAAUGCAGAAGUUCAGAGGACAAGCUGCUCCCAGGAGGUCACAAACAGCCUCAACAGUUCAAGAAGGUAAAAAUUGGUGGUUGGAGGUGAGAGAAGCCAGCGAGGGAGGAAGACCGCGUCCCAAGGAGGCUCAUGCUCACCACUGUCCAGGUUUUAAAACUCUAGUUUGCCCUGGGGCGCCUGGGGGGGGCUCAGUCGGUUACACGUCGGACUCUUGGUUUCAGCUCAGGUCGUGAUCUCACAGUUUCGUGGGUUCGAGCCCCGCAUGGGGCUCUGUGCCCACAGCCCUGACAGGGAGGAGCCUGCUUGGGAUUCUCUGUCUCCCUCUCUCUCUGCUCCUCCCCCGCUCGAGCGGUCUCUGUCUCUCUCAAAAUAAAUAAAUAAACUUAAAAAAAAAAAAAAUCAAGUUUGCUCUCUUCGGUCCCUGGGCUUUGAGGCUGUCUCGACAGACACGAGGAGAAGGCUCAGUACGUGGGAGACAGGCCAUCUGGGCAGGGACCAAAGGGCUGCACAUUCUCAGGGCAAGUCCCUUCUUCAAGGCCAGAGGUCCCCUGUUGACGUCACACCCAUGGAGGGAGAAGAAACA